rnacentral:rRNA from 1 species
CCUACGGGGGGCAGCAGUGGGGAAUAUUGCACAAUGGGGGAAACCCUGAUGCAGCGACGCCGCGUGAGUGAAGAAGUAAUUCGUUACGUAUAGCUCUAUCAGCAGGGAAGAAACACUGACCUUACGGUCAGCAGACGGUACCUGAGUAAGAAGCCCCGGCUAACUACGUGCCAGCAGCCGCGGUAAUACGUAGGGGGCAAGCGUUAUCCGGAUUUACUGGGUGUAAAGGGAGCGAAGACGGUGCGCCAAGUCUGGAGUGAAAUGCCGCAGCUUAACUGCGGAACUGCUUUGGAAACUGGCGAACUAGAGUGCGGGAGGGGUAAGCGGAAUUCCUAGUGUAGCGGUGAAAUGCGUAGAUAUUAGGAGGAACACCGGUGGCGAAGGCGGCUUACUGGACCGUAACUGACGUUGAGGCUCGAAAGCGUGGGGAGCAAACAGGAUUAGAUACCCGGGUAGUC